AGUGAACGCUGGCGGUAGGCCUAACACAUGCAAGUCGAACGGCAGCACAGUAAGAGCUUGCUCUUACGGGUGGCGAGUGGCGGACGGGUGAGGCAUACAUCGGAAUCUACUUUUUCGUGGGGGAUAACGUAGGGAAACUUACGCUAAUACAGCAUACGACCUACGGGUGAAAGCAGGGGAUAUUCGGACUUUGCGCGAUUGAAUGAGUCGAUGUCGGAUUAGCUAGUUGGCGGGGUAAAGGCCAACCAAGGCGACGAUCCGUAGCUGGUCUGAGAGGAUGAUCAGCCACACUGGAACUGAGACACGGUCCAGACUCCUACGGGAGGCAGCAGUGGGGAAUAUUGCACAAUGGGCGCAAGCCUGAUCCAGCCAUACCGCGUGUGUGAAGAAGGCCUUCGGGUUGUAAAGCCCUUUUGUUGGGAAAGAAAAGCAGCAGGUUAAUACCCCGCUGUUCUGACGGUACCCAAAGAAUAAGCACCGGCUAACUUCGUG
rnacentral:rRNA from 1 species